rnacentral:rRNA from 1 species
CAAGAGCGUAUAUUAAAGUUGUUGCAGUUAAAAAGCUCGUAGUUGGAUUUCUGGUACAACGCGCCUGGCCCGCUUUUGUGAGUGCCGGUGCGCGUUUGCCAUCCUUCUAGAAAACGUCUCUACUCGGGCAACUGGGCCGGAUUCGCGAUCUAGAUCUUUUACUUUUGAAAAAAUUAGAGUGUUUAAAGCAGGCUAUUGCCUUGAAUACAUUAGCAUGGAAUAAUAAUCUAGGACUUCGGUUUUAUUUUGUUGGUUUUCUAAAAAUUUGAAGUAAAUGAUUGAUAGGGGAUAGUUGGGGGUGCGUAGUAUUGGCCGGCCAGAGGUGAAAUUCUUGGAUUCGGUCAAGACUAACUUAUGCGAAAGCAUUCACCAAGGAUGUCUUCUUUAAUCAAGAACGAAAGUUGGGGGGAUCGAAGACGAUUAGAUACCG